CCUACGGGAGGCUGCAGUGGGGAAUAUUGGACAAUGGGGGGAACUCUGAUCCAGCGACGCCGCGUGAGUGAAGACGUAUUUCGGUAUGUAAAGCUCUAUCAGCAGGGAAGUAAGAAAUGACGGUACCUGACUAAGAAGUCCCGGCUAACUACGUGCCAGCAGCCGCGGUAAUACGUAGGGGGCAAGCGUUAGCCGGAUUUACUGGGUGUAAAGGGAGCGUAGACGGCGAUGUAAGUCUGAAGUGAAAGGCGGGGGCUCAACUCCUGGACUGCUUUGGAAACUGUAUGGCUGGAGUGCAGGAGAGGUAAGUGGAAUUCCUGGUGUAGCGGUGAAAUGCGUAGAUAUUAGGAGGAACACCAGUGGCGAAGGCGACUUACUGGACUGUAACUGACGUUGAGGCUCGAAAGCGUGGGGAGCAAACAGGAUUAGAUACCCCGGUAGUC
rnacentral:rRNA from 1 species